rnacentral:rRNA from 1 species
CCGAACCUGCAUGGCAGAACAACCCGCGAACACGUGGUUAGCCUACACGCGGGGACGGACGGGCGCCCGCUCGUCUUUCCCGCCGUCGGGCUGCGCUCGGCGACCCGUCGCCCCACAACGCCCGGCGUUUUGGGGGGGCGUUCCCGGGCGCUCCCGACCCAACAACGAACCCCGGCGUGAAUUGCGCCAAGGAUCCUAAAAGAAAGAGCGUUCCUCCGUUGCCGCGUUCGCGCAAGCAAUCGGAGGAGGCGUCGUCUUCUUGAUGUCUUUAAUGACUCUCGGCAACGGAUAUCUCGGCUCUCGCAUCGAUGAAGAACGUAGCGAAAUGCGAUACUUGGUGUGAAUUGCAGAAUCCCGUGAACCAUCGAGUUUUUGAACGCAAGUUGCGCCCGAAGCCAUUCGGUUGAGGGCACGUCUGCCUGGGCGUCACGUACCCACGCCUCCCGCAAAACCCGUCCCCGUCUCGGGGCGAAGAAUUUUGCGGCGAGCGGAGAAUGGCCUCCCGUGCCGACCAUCAGGCGCGGCUGGCCUAAAAAAGAGAGUACCGAGUGACGGAGCGUCACGACAAGUGGUGGUUUACAGGCCCUCGCGGCCGGCCGAAUCUAGUCGUGCGCGCGCUCGUUGCUCGGAUAAACUCUCGUGCGAACCCCGACACGUCC